rnacentral:lncRNA from 1 species
UGACUCGUGUAAUCUUAAAUAUAUUGUAAAAGUCAUACACAUACUCAUUGAUGCCUCUAAUAGAUUCCUGAGUAUGUACAGACAAUACAUUAUAUCUCAAAAUUAGUGCAUAUAUCUUAUUGUCUAAAAUAAUUAAAGCAAAAGCAACCAUGUAAGUUCAUAGCUGUCCAAUAAUUAUAAAAAAUGAUAAAUCAAACACACGCACACCUGCUUUGGCUGGCCAUUUUUACCAGCAAUGGUUGUGACUGACAAUUAUAUAUCCGGUUUCGGUCCCAUCUCCAUCUACCAAGCCAAUGACUUCCAUUUUCUGCAUUUAGAUUUAGAUCAGCAAUUUUUUACAUUAUUAGACUGCAUAUUCAAAAAACCAGAUGCUUAUUCAAUAAGAAAAAAUGAAAGAAAAAAAAUGUGUUAACCUUAUGAUCAUUGCCAUUGCUAGUGAUAUGCCACAGUGGCUGUGUGUUAUAGUGAAGAAAGGGAGGACCUAGUGAUAACCUUUGUUCUGUGUGAAUGCUUAAGUGACCCAAAAUCCUUAGGCCUGAAGGUAAUUGGAAUAUCAAUGUAACUAAUCCCACUUUUUUCAAUUUUCACAGACUUUGCAAGAUCAGCACCUCCGAUUCUAACCUCACCAAAGAAAUGUUGGUCGUUGUUCGCCGUCUGUAUAUAGAAUAGGAAUAAAUUUGUUAUACAUAAUUCAUUAACAGAAAGGAAUAACAAAAAUUGAAAUAUCGGAUUAUCAAAAUUUAUAUCAGAAAACCAAGAACCAUAGUAGCCAUGAGAGAAAAUGGAGAAAAUACAUAAUUUUCGCAUAUAGAGUAAACAAAAUAUGCACCAACUGAAUUAUUAUUUUAGUCCAACAAAUAUGAUCACUCAACUCACUCGAAAUCGUGACCGUGAUUCCUGACGGAAGAAUAAUAAGAACACAACUUAAAAUUGUAGAAGAAUCGCGCCCUCUGAGUGUUGCAUUCUUUUAGUAAUACCCAAAAAGUUUGGC